AGAGUUUGAUCCUGGCUCAGGAUGAACGCUGGCGGCGUGCUUAACACAUGCAAGUCGAACGGUGAACACGGAGCUUGCUCUGUGGGAUCAGUGGCGAACGGGUGAGUAACACGUGAGCAACCUGCCCCUGACUCUGGGAUAAGCGCUGGAAACGGCGUCUAAUACUGGAUAUGUGACGUGACCGCAUGGUCUGCGUCUGGAAAGAAUUUCGGUUGGGGAUGGGCUCGCGGCCUAUCAGCUUGUUGGUGAGGUAAUGGCUCACCAAGGCGUCGACGGGUAGCCGGCCUGAGAGGGUGACCGGCCACACUGGGACUGAGACACGGCCCAGACUCCUACGGGAGGCAGCAGUGGGGAAUAUUGCACAAUGGGCGCAAGCCUGAUGCAGCAACGCCGCGUGAGGGACGACGGCCUUCGGGUUGUAAACCUCUUUUAGCAGGGAAGAAGCGAAAGUGACGGUACCUGCAGAAAAAGCGCCGGCUAACUACGUGCCAGCAGCCGCGGUAAUACGUAGAGCGCAAGCGUUAUCCGGAAUUAUUGGGCGUAAAGAGCUCGUAGGCGGUUUGUCGCGUCUGCUGUGAAAUCCGGAGGCUCAACCUCCGGCCUGCAGUGGGUACGGGCAGACUAGAGUGCGGUAGGGGAGAUUGGAAUUCCUGGUGUAGCGGUGGAAUGCGCAGAUAUCAGGAGGAACACCGAUGGCGAAGGCAGAUCUCUGGGCCGUAACUGACGCUGAGGAGCGAGAGGGUGGGGAGCAAACAGGCUUAGAUACCCUGGUAGUCC
rnacentral:rRNA from 1 species